AAGUAUGUCUUUGCCUUCAAGGGCUGCAUAGUUUUCAGAUGAGUAAAUUUCUUGCAAGCAGAAAUUCCAGAAUAUCAAUGAUCCUCACCACCACAAGUGUCCUAGCUAAGGGACUUUAGUUUUAAACAGAAAUCAAUAACAUUAAGAAUGCCAGAUGUCACUGUUAUUGACAUUUCUUGAUCCAGUCAGGGCUUACCGAGGUCACUAUCUGACAACAGAAUGUUCAGAAAUUAGUUAUCCAAAUCAAAAUGCAGAAAAUGUCUAAAUCAGCACAUCUGAAACUUGAAAUUAAUUCUAUUAGAAUAUUUAAUGUGUAAUCAUACACAGAAAAAUAAGUUGGCACCCUUUGUCACCAACACCCCAUUUUGCAUUUUAAAGGGGGAAGGGACUCCCACAGCAUUCUCUUCUAAGAAGUUCUGCAACCAGGAAUUGACAGGUGGAGCCCUGAUUGAUAAGGGUGGUUUAGACAACAUCUCAGGUCUCCUCCUUACCCACCUCAUUCCAUGACUAAUGGGAGAGGGGAAUAACUAAAGUGCAAGACUGUUAAUCUGUUUUGUUUUUUGGUUUUUUAAGUGCAGGUUUCCAUUUACUCAAUUUCUACUUAAGCAACAAACUAGGACAAUGAAACCAAUAUAGGAAAAAGAAAAUGCAUGGAGUAGGUGAACUACUCCAAGGUGCAUUUUUAGCUCAUGUGACCUUCCAAAGUGCUCCAAGUAUGUUGUACGUAGAUGUGUGGGCAUGUGUGUAUUUAUAGAAAGUGUCGAGAGUGCUAUAAAAAAAAUACAUGAAUAAAUCAUAGAUAUGUUAGUGCUACAAGGGACUUCCAAACACUAGCCCACAGCCUCAAUUUUUAGACAGAGAAAGCAAGCCCCAAGACAUGGCCAAACUUUCUAGUGAUAGAACUUGCUAGUAAUAGAACCUCGUCAUAUAUAGCAAUCAAGUUUUCAACUCCUGAAGACAAUCUUGCCUCCAAAGUACUCCAAUUCCAUGGCUUUAUUCUUAAAUUUAUCCCUCCCCUAAAAAGAUGACUGUCCACUCCGCCCUACAAUACAGAUUCCAAGUUUUAAGACUCAGAUGGGCCUAACCCUGUCUUCCAAGAACCCAUUAGUCUCGCCCAGUGGUUCUCAAAGUUUGGCCUGGGAACUUACGAGUACUCUGAGACUUCCUAAUAUAUCUAGGAGGUCAAGAGAAUGCCUUUUUCUCUCAUAAAUGUACAGUAGAGCUUUCUAAAGGUUUUCUGAUAACUGCUUCUGCAUUAAGUCUGUUGCAAUAAGAGAACAGAGUUGACUAUAUCUAUUAAGCCAGACAAUAAAGAGAUGCAAAAUGUAAAAGUAUGUCACCCCUUAUUUCAGAAAAACAUACAUAUUCCUCACUUUAAAAAUAUUUUUGUUAAUAUGUAACGGGUUUACUAUUUAACUAAACAUGUUUUUAAACUUUCUGAUCUUAAUUUCUUAUAUAGUAAAUAUUGAAAAAACACAAACAAAAGGGGUCCUCAAUAACUGAAGCACAUAAAAGGAUCCUCUGAUCAAGAAGUUUGAGAAUUACUGGUCUAAUUCAUUACUACAUAAGCUCCCCUUUAUGGUGAAUCCCUUUAGCACAUACAGAUAAACCUUAGAACAGAUUCCAACUGCUCUCUUUACCCUCAAAGGGAUGUUCCUCCAGCUCUGGGAAUAUGUAAACUACUUCUUAUGCCCAGUACUACCCUGAUUUAUAACAAAAAAAAUUAAUCACCUCAACUUCCUUUAAUAUAAAAAUUUUACAUAAACAUGGUAGGGGAAGAAUAUAACUGUAUACUUUGAUUCUCAGAAAAGAUGCUUUCUAAAGCAUAACAAGCUAUUACAUUUUCAUGUUGCAUACUUACGCUGGUUUACAAAAAUGCGUGAGUAUCUUAUGAGUCUCUCUACAGAAUAAAAGCAUGCCAGAAAGCAGUUUUUCACUUUCAUUUGGGGGUUUCCACACUAGUCAGGCACCCAAGCACGUUCCAGUAUCCUCUGGAAGCCCUGGUUCCUUUCUCAAGGCCCCUUUCGCCAUUAUCAGCCCACAUCUUUUGCUUCAGUUUUCCUCACACUAAGCCAUCCUACAAAAUUGUCCCAAGUUUGGCUCUCUCAAACAAAAAAUCAGAAAUGUUCCUGCAUGCAUUUCAAUGUCCUCUAAAAAUCCACCCAUUUUCCAAUAAUCAAAACUGUUUCCUUAUGCUAGGAGUACAUCACACUUAAUCUUCUCCAAGAAAAAAGAAAAAGACUUCCUCUACUUGCAUACUUGCAUAAAAGCUCUCCACAAGUGCUACUCACAUCUACCUGGUUUCAGGAACCUUUUCCCAAUGUUUGCGGCAGACAUUACCAAACUCCUAAACUCACGUUUUCUGCCUCUGGACUGUCAAUCAGACUUGUAGAACUUAACAGUAACAUCCACAUCCUAGUGUUUCUGAACACCCAAGGACCAGGCACAAUGCUCAGCUCAAGGCAGGCACUGAAUGCUAACAAAGAACUUACAUAUAGGGAAAGUGGAAAUCUACUGAAAUGCUCUGAAAAGCCCAAGAGGAAUCAGCUUUUGAAGUAAUUAGUAAUUCUAAUGUAAUAAGCUCUGCAAAUUAAAAAUAUAUAUAUUUGAUGCAAAAAAGAUAAUAACCACAGAACUGUAUAAAAGACAGAUUUGUUUUCGGUGUAGAUUUGAAGGAAUUUUUUUGAGAUGGAGUCUUGCUCUGUCGCCCAGGCUGGAGUGCAAUGGUAUGAUCUCAGCUCACUGCGACCUCCACCUCCUGGGUUCAAGCAAUAAAAGGCAGAAAUAUUUAAUUCCUUCAAAUCUACACCUGAGAGGUUAACAAUUUCACGAACAAUUUCAACACUUUCAAAGAAAAUACAAUCAUGUAAAGUCACAGGUGAGGAAUAGUAAAUACUUAACACACGGACAUAGCUGUGUGAAUGCUUUCUGAAUCUUUUUAUAUUUCAAGAUCAGCACAUAUUCUUUAAAGAUUACUAUAUAAUAGAAGAACAUCCUCAUUAAUUUAACCAGUCUCCUACUGACGAACAUUACAAGGUUUUGCUAUUUUAAACAGUGCUUACAAUUUUAAAUACCUCAUACAGAAAAGCAAAAAUGUAAAUUUAAAGAUAGAAAUCGCUGGUUCGUAGUCUAUUUGCAUUUUUAAUUACGCCAGUCUCUGCCAAAAAAAACCUUCUAACAACUUAUCAGUUUGCAAUCCCACCAAAGCAUAAUCAACAUUUUCAAAAAAGAAGUAAUGCAGCAGUGUAGAGGAAAGGGUACUGGGAGAAGGAAAGGCAAGUCAGGAACCAGCUACUGGGUUACAGUCACCAACCACAAUCACUAUACCUAAGGCUUUAGACAACACAUCUGAGCAUCGGUUCUGAAAGUAUAUAAAAUGAGAGUGCUGUUCAACACUAUGGGUAGGGCCUUUCCAGCUGUAACAUUCUCUGAUGUCCUUCAAUUUGUUAUAUAUAAGAAAUGUAUAUUAAAUAUCAAGACAGAUUGCUUAUUCUCUUCGGCUACCCAAGAACAACAAAUAAAUGCUGAGAAAAUCAGCUGCAGCACUGGGAACAUAAACGCUCUGAUAAAACCCCUGCUAGGAAUUUCAAAAUGGAGGUGAAAUUGGGACUGAAGGAAAUGACCACCUAACAGAAAAGAUAAGCCAUUUCAAAGAUGAAAAACAAAAAGAGACAUCAACCAUUUGGGGGUUUUCCUAGUUUAAAACAAACCACAUAUCUGUAAAAGAAAUAUGGAUAAAUGGCUAUAACAAAGCAAGGGUCAAAGUACCCUCAUGGCUACUAAUAAAAAUUUACAAACAUCCCUUUCAAGUGUACCAUUUGAGAGACUGGAUAUUAACAAGAGAUAUGAUUUUCUAAGCUAAAUAAAA